rnacentral:rRNA from 1 species
GAUGAACGCUGGCGGCGUGCCUAAUACAUGCAAGUCGAGCGAACGGACGAGGAGCUUGCUUUUCUGAUGUUAGCGGCGGACGGGUGAGUAACACGUGGAUAACCUACCUAUAAGACUGGGAUAACUUCGGGAAUGCGGAGCUAAUACCGGAUAAUAUUUUGAACCGCAUGGUUCAUAAGUGAAAGACGGUCUUGCUGUCACUUAUAGAUGGAUCUGCGCUGCAUUAGCUAGUUGGUAAGGUAACGGCUUACCAAGGCAACGAUGCAUAGACGACCUGAGAGACUGGUAGGCCACACUGGAGCUGAGACGCGGUCCAGACUCCUACGAGAGGCAGCAGUAGGCAAUCUUACGCAGUGGGCGAAAGCCUGACGGAGCGACGCCGCGUGAGUGAUGAAGGUCUUCGGAGCGUGAAACUCUGUUAUUAGGGAAGAACAUAUGUGUAAGGAACUGUGCACAUCUUGACGGUACCUAAUCAGAAAGCCACGGCUAACUACGUG